rnacentral:rRNA from 1 species
AGUGAACGCUGGCGGUAGGCCUAACACAUGCAAGUCGAACGGCAGCACAGUAAGAGCUUGCUCUUACGGGUGGCGAGUGGCGGACGGGUGAGGAAUACAUCGGAAUCUACUUUUUCGUGGGGGAUAACGUAGGGAAACUUACUCUAAUACCGCAUACGACCUACGGGUGAAAGCAGGGGAUCUUCGGACCUUGCGUGAUUGAAUGAGCCGAUGUGGGAUUAGCUAGUUGGCGGGGUAAAGACCCACCAAGGCGACGAUCCGCAGCUGGUCUGAGAGGAGGGUCGGCCGCACGGGAACGGGGACACGGUCCAGACGCCUAAGGGAGGCAGCAGUGGGGAAUAUUGGACAAUGGGCGCAAGCCUGAUCCAGCCAUACCGCGUGGGUGGAGAAGGCCUUCGGGUUGUAAAGCCCUUUUGUUGGGAAAGAAAAGCAGCAGGUUAAUACCCCGCUGUUCUGACGGUACCCAAAGAAUAAGCACCGGCUAACUUCGUG